AGAGAGAGAGAGAGAGAGAGAGAGAACCCAUGUAUGUGCCUCACGUCACAGAGCAGGACAAAGACAAAGGUAGGGUCAACUCUGACUCCUGGCCUGUAGCCGAGCCUGCCCUGGCCUGGCCAUGGAGGCUGUGAUGUCAUGUCUUUUGUGCCUGUGACAGUCCUGCAUUCUCUCACUACACUAGGUCGCUAACAAGUGGGCUGCAGCCCUCCAGGGCCUUUAGCGUGCACUCAUCUGGCAACUGUGCUGCCCCCAGACGCUCAGAUUUAUUUUGCCAAAGUUACAGGGCAAUUAUGGAAAUGUGCCCUUUGAAGCCAGCCUGAUUUCUCUUUAUUUCCUUCUCCCUGACAGAGCAGAACAGAGCCUCUCCGCCUCUCUCUCUCUCUCUCUCUCUCUCUCUCUCUCUCUCUCUCUCUCUCUCCCUCUCUCUCCUCCCCCUCUGUUCCUAAUAAUCCUUACAUAGUGGAAGCUUCUAGGGACAGUGUUGGGGGGAAAAACUUCUAAGUAGCAUCUAAAUUGUGUGGAUAUGAAAUAGCAUCAAUUUAAUUUUCAUGCUCUGUUUUGUUUUUUAAGUGGAGUGCUCCUGGCCAUGAAAAGAGAAACGUAUCAGGGAGAGUGAGAGGUAAAUGCCUCUGCCUAGCUGCUAGACUCUGCCCACGUCUGUAGCCUUUACUUAGAGGAAGGCAGAUGACCCACUGGGGCAGACUGGUCCCCUAAGCACCCUGUUCUAGCCCUGAAAUCUAAGCUCUACAAAGCAUAGCCAAGGGCCUUUGUUCUUGUACCUAGGGAAGAAGACAUCCCUACGUUUCUCUUGUAGAUGCUGACGCCAAGAGCAAGCAACAAAAAAAGUGGUCACAGAUGCCAGCAUAAAUCAUGCAGUUGGUUGGGCCUAGGAAUUACAGUUAUUCCUCUGCUAUCAUCAGGUCUACCAAGAAUUAAAAACUCGCUCUUGCUCAGUAGCCCCAGGUUUGGUGGCUUUGCAGAAUUGUCAACAGGACAUGGAAUCUGGUGCCUCUGUGUGAAGUGACCCCUUGUGUUUCUGGCAUUGGCGUGUUGAAUUAAAAGUUAGAUGGUGUGGGUGGAAUGGACUCUGAGGAUAUGCAGUGAAGGGUCAUGAUGGGGGUCCAUGUCUGGGUUUGCCUAGAGUCUGGGGCCUCCACCUCUACUUUAGAAAGUGACUUUGAAGUUUCUUUGUCCCUGUGGUCACUUGCUCCUUCUUCCCUGCCCUCCUGCCUUCAGAAGAUCUGCUCCUGACAUAGACUGACCCCACCAUUAAGAAGCCUACCCACCCUUCCCCAACUACCUACAGCAGCGGCUGCUCUUGAGCUCACGUGCUUUCUUGUUUUGUUUGCAUUUGCUGUUGACACAGGCCUCAAAGUGUAGGCCAGGCUGGCCUCAAAAGCAAUAUGAACUGCUGAUUUUUCUGCCAUUACCUUCCAAGUGCUGGGACUACCGGCCUCCUCUCUAGUCUUCCUGCACUGACUUUACAGACUAAACUAAUGUGGAACUGAGUGAGUUGGCAAAGGACUUCUCAGAUGUAGGUUCAGCCACUUGCACAAUGUGGCCAAUAAAUGGAAAAGCCAAAUCCGGACCCUGGACAUCUUGAUUCCAGAAUGGGAUGCUGACACAGUUCUUUGCAUCUGGAUUCGGAGCAGAUGGCCCUGCGUCUGUGAAUCCACAUUGCCCCAUUCCUUCCUACUCCCUGGCAUAGCUGAUGUUCAUGGGCCUAAAGAUCUUGGUAAGACCCCAACCCAUAGUUUUCACCGAAUCUCACCCACUUCUACAGUGAAGAAUGGGACUCCAUUUGAGUGGCCGUGCCAGAGGGUAACCUUGAACUCCUGCCACAUUCUCCACUUUGCCAGUAGUUACAGGUCAGGAUGUGGAUCUUUGCCCACUCCUUUAACCCUUUCUCAUGCCCAGUCCAUGUGGAAGGGCUGCCAGCAUAGGCACACAUCAAAGAUUUCCCCUGAGAGCAGGAAAAGCCCACCCUCCACAGUAGAAGACUCAUCCUACCCCUAGAUCUGCCAUUCAGCAAGGGUCCCUGGACCAUCAACAGUGUAUGAAGCUCAGUCUACUCCCUACCCUCCUACACCCGAAUCUGCCUUUGCAUGGAGAGGUCUGGGUGAGUACCGCACGUGUAUAUUAGUGACAUCCCUGCCCCCUGCCCUCUAGAAGCUCCCCCAACAAGACAUGGAACCUCGCCAGCAUGGACCUGAGCUGGAAUUGUCCCUGAGUCUGGGGGCUCUCCAGGAAUGCAGUGCAGGGCUAGGAUGGAGGGAAAUUCAAGGGAAUGAGGCAAGUCAGGGGAAGGACUCUUAAACCAGCAGAACUAGACUAGUCUGUGGGUGGCUGUGAACACUGGCCGGCCCCUUGUGCCCAUCGCCUAUGCCCAUGUGCCCUUCCAGAUGUCUCCCAGCAACAGGACAAACACUGGAAGCAUAAACGCCUACCGGUGGUUUCUUACCAUAUUAAAGCGAACAUCACAUCUGCACUAGAGUCAGUAGGCAGUUGGCCCCCUGGGCCAUUGAAACACCAAGAAUCCAUGCCCAGCACCAUUGCUCUGCACCAAAGGCCUUGGAGAGUGUCAGUCUAGCCUUGCUGAGCCUCAGGGUCUUCCUGUGUUAUACCUGUUUGCCUCUGUGCCUGGACCUCACUGAGCAGAGCCUUCCUGUCAAAGCACAAGCAUCCGGAUGAUCAUCUAGUCUUCAAAUGGUCCUACAAGGUAGGUAUUGCAGUUCUCAUCAGGACUCUUUAAAAUGGAGAAACUGAAGCUCAAAGAGGCAAUUCUACUAAUCCACGUUCCCAGAAAGUGAUUUAACCCAGACAGGUUGGACCAGAGCUGCUGUUACAAAACCACUGCGCUGCAAGGCUAUAGUAAUAGUGCUUACUCCAUAGAGGUCACUGUAUUGUGGGAGUACACAUCACACACACACACUUACUUACUCUCGUGCACACACAUUCUCUCACACUCACACACACACUCACACACUCACACAUUCAUACACACUCACAUUUACAUACACACAUUCACACUCUCACACAUAUAUACACACUCACACAUACACACUCACACUCACACACACAUGCUCAUACUCUCUCUCUCUCUCUCUCUCUCUCUCUCUCUCACACACACACACACACACACACACACACACACACACUUGAGAGAACCAGGUUAUGUUGGCCCAUGGCGUAGUCUACCUCACAUGAUGGUGGAAGAGCCCAUCAAAGCUCCUCCCUCAUGAACAGGAUGUGAGAGAGGAAGGAGAGGCUAUCUCAAUGAUCACUCUCAAGGACACCCCCUUAUGGCCUGGCCACCUCUUACUAAACUCCACCUUUUAAAGACCCAUGACUCAAUUCUCUGAUCAAUCAACCUUUAACAUGGCCCCUUGGUGAACGUUUGAGAUCCAAACACUGGAGAGUGUUUGUUGGGACAAUAACGUGUCAAGUGCUUAGCAUAACACCAACAUGAUUGAAUAAUGUCAGUGGACAGAGUGAGGAACUUUUCACCAGAAAACACCGGAAUCGUGAUCAAGUGAUAAUCUGCUUCAAAGAUUACUGCAGAGUCACCUCAAGCCCAGGGGCAUAAAGUUAUAGCAGCUCACAGAUUUCUCUAAGUGCCAGAUAGUCAAGUGAAACUGUUUCUCUUGUUCAUCUCAGCCGUCAAAUCGCAAGGAAGUGUUCCAGUGAGCUCAGCGUGGGUCAUGCUCUUACUGCUGAUACAAUUACAAUGGUCAGGGUGUGUAGGAGGAAGAGACUCUCCUUUGAGGCUCAUGAUGGACUCCAUCAAGGAUGUCUGCUGGGCUAGAGUGGGGUGGAGGGAUGAGGAACAAGGCCUGGGCAGAAAGAGAAGGGAGCUUGAUCUUGGGCUGGCUGUGUGGCAGGCACAGCAUCCUGGUUCCAUCUCCAACACCAUCAAAAGGGAGAAGAGUGCUCAAUUCUUUCACCAAAUGCCAGUCUGGUAUGGUUGGUGACAAAGCACUGGCUGAGACCAGAGCCAGCUAGCCUCAGAGACCUUCCCACACUUCAGAUGUUAAGGUCCCCUUUGGAUCAUAUGGGGCUGGACACAGGCUGUGCAACAACUUUUCUAGCUAUUCUAGCUGAGCAGCCUUGGGUGGGGGAAGAGCUCUAACACCCAGCAGAGUGACAAAGGCUGGUUGAAUGAGGACUCCUGGGGAGCUCAAGGUCACCAGAACUUUAGUGACAGCCAUUUCUCUUCUCUCUGUCAUCCCUCCAUCUCUCUUCCCCUCUCAUUUGAACCUGAACUGGAAAAUGCUUGCUGGAGCUGGGUACUGGCCUGCCCUCGUCUUGGGGUUUGAUAUUUACCAAAUGCAUUUCUGCUUGGUAACUAAGAAAUAAAGUCAGACUUUUCCUGAAGC
rnacentral:lncRNA from 1 species